GACGAACGCUGGCGGCGUGCCUAAUACAUGCAAGUAGGACGCACAGUUUAUACCGUAGCUUGCUACACCAUAGACUGUGAGUUGCGAACGAGUGAGUAACGCGUAGGUAACCUGCCUAUUAGAGGGGGAUAACUAUUGGAAACGAUAGCUAAUACCGCAUAACAGUAUGUAACACAUGUUAGAUGCUUGAAAGAUGCAAUUGCAUCGCUAGUAGAUGGACCUGCGUUGUAUUAGCUAGUAGGUAGGGUAAAGGCCUACCUAGGCAACGAUACAUAGCCGACCUGAGAGGGUGAUCGGCCACACUGGGACUGAGACACGGCCCAGACUCCUACGGGAGGCAGCAGUAGGGAAUCUUCGGCAAUGGGGGGAACCCUGACCGAGCAACGCCGCGUGAGUGAAGAAGGUUUUCGGAUCGUAAAGCUCUGUUGUUAAGGAAGAACGAGUGUGAGAAUGGAAAGUUCAUACUGUGACGGUACUUAACCAGAAAGGGACGGCUAACUACGUGCCAGCAGCCGCGGUAAUACGUAGGUCCCGAGCGUUGUCCGGAUUUAUUGGGCGUAAAGCGAGCGCAGGCGGUUAGAAAAGUCUGAAGUGAAAGGCAGUGGCUCAACCAUUGUAGGCUUUGGAAACUGUUUAACUUGAGUGCAGAAGGGGAGAGUGGAAUUCCAUGUGUAGCGGUGAAAUGCGUAGAUAUAUGGAGGAACACCGGUGGCGAAAGCGGCUCUCUGGUCUGUAACUGACGCUGAGGCUCGAAAGCGUGGGGAGCGAACAGG
rnacentral:rRNA from 1 species